UUAACAGUCGAACCGUCCUAAGGUAGCGAAAUUCCUUGUCGGGUAAGUUCCGACCUGCACGAAUGGCGUAACAAAGGUCCCGCUGUCUCAACCAAGUGCUCGGCGAAAUUGUGGUACGAGUGAAGACGCUCGUUACGCGUGGUUAGACGAAAAGACCCCGUGGAGCUUUACUGUAACUUGACAUUGUGUUAUGGAUCUAAAUGCGUAGAAUAGCUGGGAGCCUUUGAUGCAGGGGUUGUGGCCCUUGUUGAGGCGCAACGUGAAAUACCAGCCUUUCGGGUCUGUGGCACUAACCUACGGCCGUCAUCCGGCCUAGGGACCGUGUCAGGCGGGCAGUUUGACUGGGGCGGUCGCCUCCUAAACGGUAACGGAGGCGUUCCAAGGUUCGCUCAGGGCGCAUAGUAAUCGCCCACAGAGUGCAUUGGCAGAAGCGAGCUUGACUGCAAGGCCUACAAGCCGGGCAGGGACGAAAGUCGGACAAAGUGAUCCGGUGGUACCUCGUGGGAGGGCCAUCGCUCAACGGAUAAAAGCUACCCCGGGGAUAACAGGCUGAUCUGGUCCAAGAGUUCACAUCGACGACCAGGUUUGGCACCUCGAUGUCGGCUCAUCGCAUCCUCCCGCUGGAGCAGGUGGGAAGGGUUGGGCUGUUCGCCCAUUAAAGCGGUACGUGAGCUGGGUUCAGUACGUCGUGAGACAGUAGAGACAAUUGCUGUCUAUAAACUUGGCCAUAUGCGGGAAAACCCUUCGCCCUAGAUAAGCGAAGGACAAUCCGCAGGAAACCAACAAGAUGCCGGUGUUUUAUUGUAGUGGUUGACUAUUCUUGAGAAUAGUUGGCCCGGUCGGAUUCUCAUUUUUUUCUUGAGAAAAUCGUUCCCCUUCAGGGAAUAUCCGCCAAUAAUAAAUCGCGAUCAGUACGGCGCCGGAAUUGGGAUCCUCAGAGACUACACGCCAGGCUUCGAUCUGAAGGUCGAAUGAAGAUAUAGUCCGAACUGCAUGGUAACAUGCAGAUUCCGGCGGAAACGCCCGGAACGCCCGAAAGGGUUGUAACAGAUUGACGGUCUCUAUCUACCAUGCGCGUUAGGAAACUUGAGAGGAGCUGUCCCUAGUACGAGAGGACCGGGAUGGACGAACCGCCUGUAUGCCAGUUAUUCCGCCAGGAGUAUCGCUGGGUAGCGGUGUUCGGAAGAGAUAAACGCUGAAAGCAUCUAAGCGUGAAACUCUCCUCAAGAUAAGGUUUCCCGGGUCGCAUGACCCCAUCAGGACACUGGAAGACUACCAGUUUGAUAGGCUGCGAGUGUAAGGGCCGCGAGGUCUU
rnacentral:rRNA from 1 species